UGCGACACACAGCGGUAGCUUCGUCUUCCUAGGCACACCCAAGCGACACCAGAACAACCUCUGUGUGUCGCACCCUUACAACGCCGCACUCUUCCCCCCCUCCGAAACAGUGAGCUCACCUGCUUUUCCGGCUGCGCUGGGGUGUCGCACCGAAGAAAAACUGAGCCGUUGCAGCUCGAAUGUGUGAAAGUCAGCGUAUCAAGGAGUGAUAUCUUUGGCAAAGUGUUCUGUUGUAGUAGGUCUGUUGAUACGGCUUCAUACUGUCUGGAUUGGCAAUAAUGGUGUCACAGGUAACAUCAACGAGUUAUUCAGACUGAAAGAAAGGACAGCAGUCCAGGGGCUCACUUGGCGCCUCAGAACCUUCUGUGGUUCCAAAUGAGAAAUCAGCGGCGCUUUACAAGCUUACUAUGUUCAAAG